AGAAAGCAAAAUGUGACUGAAGUUAUUCCUCCUCUGCUUUCCAGAAUAGCCCCAUUGAUGACCAUUUAAAUAUCAAGCUUCAGGCAAAUGAGUGAAACGAUCCUAGCUAGACUCGAAGCGCUUGCUACUAUAACAGAUAUUAAGAAGAGGGCAAAAAAAAAAAAAUGUGGUUACAUAUGUUUUGGACAGCCACUGCUGCCCCUGCAACUCUUGCUACUUCGUUUGCUCUACAGAACCAUAUCUCCUCCACUCAAGCUCCACAUACAAACAUUACGGCUCUGUUUAGCAAAGUUAAAAAGAUUUUCUUUCUUCCCUUUUUUUAAAGAAAAAAGGGGAAAGAAAAAAGAAAGAAGAGAGUGAGAGAAAAGAAAGAAGGAAGGAAAAAGAAAGGGAGGAAAGAAGAAAGAAGGAAAGGAAAGGAAGGUCUGAAGAAGGCAAGUAAUUGAAAAACAGCACGAGAGCGAGGAGACGUGUGGACUUGUGGAUGGGGCAUGAAAGCGAUGGGAGAGACUUCAAAGAUUUGCCACGGAAAUAGCCUUCUUCUGGAAGGGAAGGCUCAAGGGAAGCGCAAUUUCAGAACUGCUGUUUCUUCUGGAUAUGUCACCCUGACUUUGUAGUUGCCACAGAAUGAAACGAAUGUUAUGGUGAAAACCCGGCGGCCAAAGCUGAGGAGUUCCACACACUAAAGACCCCAAAUUCCUCAACCUCCACAACCUGAGCUGUGUGGAGCAUCCACCAAAGAGAUGAGAGUGAAUCCUGAUCAUCUUGAGACAAGCUUUCCUGUUUUUCUUAAGGAUAAGAGUAUAAAUUGUGUGGAAGGAUGAAAACUUCCUCAGUGCAAUUAACAGAGAAACUCCAGCCUGCCGCAUGCCUGAGCCAGAAUAAAGUGAUCUUUAUGUAUACACAUUAAA